rnacentral:rRNA from 1 species
AACCGGAUUAGAUACCCUGGUAGUCCACGCCCUAAACGAUGAUAACUCGAUGUUUGCGAUACACAGUAAGCGUCCAAGCGAAAGCGUUAAGUUAUCCACCUGGGGAGUACGGUCGCAAGAUUGAAACUCAAAGGAAUUGACGGGGGCCCGCACAAGCGGAGGAGCAUGUGGUUUAAUUCGAUGAUACGCGAGGAACCUUACCCGGGCUUGAAAGUUAGUGAAUGAUCCAGAGACGGAUCAGUCCUUCGGGACACGAAACUAGGUGCUGCAUGGCUGUCGUCAGCUCGUGCCGUGAGGUGUUGGGUUAAGUCCCGCAACGAGCGCAACCCCUAUGUUUAGUUGCCAGCACAUUAAGGUGGGGACUCUAAACAGACUGCCAGCGUAAGCUGUGAGGAAGGUGGGGACGACGUCAAGUCAUCAUGGCCCUUACGUCCGGGGCUACACACGUGCUACAAUGGAUGGUACAGCGGGCAGCUACAUAGCAAUAUGGUGCUAAUCUCUAAAAGCCAUUCACAGUUCGGAUUGAGGUCUGCAACUCGACCUCAUGAAGUUGGAUUCGCUAGUAAUCGCGUAUCAGCAAUGACGCGGUGAAUACGUUCCCGGGCCUUGUACACACCGCCCGUCAAGCCAUGAAAGUUGGGGGUACCUAAAGCAUGUAACCGCAAGGAGCGUGUUAGGGUAAAACCGAUAAUUGGGGCUAAGUCGUAACAAGGUAACCGUA